rnacentral:rRNA from 1 species
UACGGAGGUCCCUAGCGUUGUUCGGAAUCACUGGGCGUAAAGCGCACGUAGGCGGAUUGCUAAGUCAGGGGUGAAAUCCUGGAGCUCAACUCCAGAACUGCCUUUGAUACUGGCGAUCUCGAGUCCGGGAGAGGUGAGUGGAACUGCGAGUGUAGAGGUGAAAUUCGUAGAUAUUCGCAAGAACACCAGUGGCGAAGGCGGCUCACUGGCCCGGUACUGACGCUGAGGUGGGAAAGCGUGGGGAGCAAACAGG